rnacentral:misc_RNA from 1 species
GAUGAAGAACGCAGUAAAAUGCGAUAAGUAAUGUGAAUUGCAGAAUUCAGUGAAUCAUCGAAUCUUUGAACGCACAUUGCGCCCGCCAGUAUUCUGGCGGGCAUGCCUGUUCGAGCGUCAUUGCAACCCUCAAGCACAGCUUGGUGUUGGGACUCGCGUUAAUUCGCGUUCCCCAAAUUGAUUGGCGGUCACGUCGAGCUUCCAUAGCGUAGUAGUAAAACCCUCGUUACUGGUAAUCGUCGCGGCCACGCCGUUAAACCCCAACUUCUGAAUGUUGACCUCGGAUCAGGUAGGAAUACCCGCUGAACUUAAGCAUAUCAAUAAGCGGAGGA